GCUUUCGUGGUGUAAUGGUAGCACACUCGGCGUGUAUACGAGAGGUCCAGGUUCGAAUCCCGGCGAGGAUG
rnacentral:tRNA from 1 species